ensembl:processed_transcript 1810059H22Rik RIKEN cDNA 1810059H22 gene
CUGCUGAGCCGCAGGCUGAACCUUGAGCGUGCUGGGGAGGUGUGGCGCUCCUGCCAGGCUCCGUGGAGCAGGACACNNNNNNNNNNNNNNNNNNNNNNNNNCGCCAACCCCUGCGACAUCCAUAAAACGCUUCCCCCUCCAUCCCCACCCCCACCUCCAACACCCGCACACCUGGUCCCCACGUGGAGUUGGCCGUGGGAACCUGGGGGUAGUGAGCCACCAGGUGGGAACCCGAGGACUGCGCAGAACCUUUGCAGAAGCCACAAGCCCAGCACCUCGCGGUGCCAGACUGUGUAGAGGACCCUUCUUUGUCACGUGAUUCCCAGACGCGGGUGCAAAUAUCUCUGAGGACUGCGUACGUGCCUCUCUGCGUGGGGGAGUGGGGAAUGCUGGGCUCAUCCUCUGGAACCCAGAAGGCCUAGCUUCUAGAACCGCUGCUGACAGGUGUCUGCGGAGGAGGCUCCCCAUCUGCUGGACCAACCGCCGGCUUCCUUCCUCUCCCCAGGACUGAGUCACUGGAGCAUCUAUCUGCACGCUGCGGUUUCGACUUUCCCCCAAGUGCAUAGCGACAGUACUGACGUUGCUACGGAAGUCAAGGAAAAGCCUUCCGCCUCCUCAGGCCUUCUUGCCCCUCAAAUUUCCUGUAUUUCUUCCCGUCUUACCUGUCCACGAGAUUUAGCUUAAUUAAAAAAUAGAUGUUU